rnacentral:lncRNA from 1 species
UUUUGUUGUCGUUGUUGUUGUUGCUAUUUCUUGGGCCGCUUCCGUGGCAUAUGGAGGUUCCCAGGCUAGGGGUUGAAUCGGAGCUGUAGCCACCGGCCUACGCCAGAGCCACAGCAACGCGGGAUCCGAGCCGCGUCUGCAACCUACACCACAGCUCACGGCAACGCCGGAUCGUUAACCCACUGAGCAAGGGCAGGGACCCAACCCGCAACCUCAUGGUUCCUAGUCGGAUUCGUUAACCACUGCGCCACGACGGGAACUCCCUAGCUGACAUUAGUAGAUUCAUCUAGGUCUUUAUUAAUUAACCGACUUAAUCUUUUGAAUAUUUAACUUAUCUUUUUCCAUGUUGUACACAAGAAGCAAGGCUUUUUUGUGAUCCCAGAUAUCUUAUUCCUAUUGUGUUUCCCUGAGUACUCUCUAAGUGACAUUGCUAAGGAAAAAAAUGCUGCAGUUAGCCUUUGUUUGUUCUUCAUGAAACCGUAGGAUUCUCUUGAUCACUGCAUCCCUUUCUACAUUUUCACAAUCCAUCCCUUUAGGAAUAUGUUUUGAAUCACGCCAAGGAUUUUUGUGGAGCUCAUUUGUCUACUACUGAGGAAAUUGAAGAAUGAAAGGUGUGACAAGUCAAGUCAUAGAUUUUUCAGCUCUCUAAUGGUCUUCCCUCCACCAUCCUAGUUAGGAUUUUCAAAGGCCAAUAUUUUGAAAGGUGGGACCAGGAGCUUUUUAUUCUUUCCUCUUUGAAAAAAACUAAACCAGGUACAAUUAUUCAUUCUUUUAUUUUAAUGUUUUAAACGUUUACUGAACACCGUUUGAAAGGUUCUAUACAGAAGUAAGAGUUGAUUACUACCACUUAGCUAUUUAACCGGUAUUGGAUUGGGCAGUUGUUCUCAAAGUUUGAUCCCCUAAUUAGCAACCUCGGUAUCAAGUGGAAAUUGUUAGAAAGGUAAUUUGGGGGCUGUACCCUAGACAUACAGAAUCAGUGACUCUUUGGAAGCUAUGUUUUCAAAAGCCCCAUUCGUCUUUUGUAACUUUGGUGAUGCACAAGAAAGUUUAAGAAUGAUUGGAAAGGACACAUAUGCAAGGAAAUAACUAUAGCGUUAUAAUACCCUUGCUGUCAACACACUACUGAAGAAUAGAGGAGUGACCAAACAAAAUACAUCUUAAUUGUGUGUGCCUUAGUCAUAUGUAUAUGUAGACAGGUAUAGUUUG